UAAGACGAACCGUGCGAACGUUAUUCGGAAUCACUGGGCUUAAAGCGCGUGUAGGCGGAUCGGUGCGUCGGCGCCUGAAAUCCCCCGGCUCAACCGGGGAACGCGGCCCGAAACGACCGGUCUGGAGGGACGUAGGGGGGUCUGGAACUUCCGGUGGAGCGGUGAAAUGCGUUGAGAUCGGAAGGAACGCCCGUGGCGAAAGCGAGACCCUGGACGUCUACUGACGCUGAGACGCGAAAGCUAGGGGAGCGAACGGGAUUAGAUACCCCGGUAGUCCUAGCCGUAAACGAUGAGCACUGGGUAGGGGGCUCGCCGAUGGGCUCCCUGCCGCAGGGAAACCGUGAAGUGCUCCGCCUGGGGAGUAUGGUCGCAAGGCUGAAACUCAAAUGAAUUGACGG
rnacentral:rRNA from 1 species